GUGAUAGUAGAAGUUAACAUGUUUGGGCACACAUCAUUUAUGAGAAGGCACGCCACCCAAAUCAUUUGCAUGAGGACAUUGUGAGGUUCAUUUAUAUACAAAGCAUUUUCCGGCUACUUAAUACCAAUAUUUCAGAUUUUGGCACCAUUAAGGUCAAUUUAAAUAUUCCAUAAAAUAUGCAUCAAUGGUAAAUUUUGGUUCUUACUUGAUGCAGCAUCAUGGUCAGUG
rnacentral:misc_RNA from 1 species